rnacentral:rRNA from 1 species
GAGCCCAAGAUUGAAAGCUGGCGCCUUCGGCGUCCGCAUUGUAAUCUCAAGAAGUGUUUUCCGCUUCGGACCAUGCCUAAGUCCCUUGGAAAAGGGCAUCAUAGAGGGUGAUAAUCCCGUACAUGGCAUGGAGCGCCCGAAGCUUUGUGAUACGCUUUCUAAGAGUCGAGUUGUUUGGGAAUGCAGCUCAAAAUGGGUGGUAAAUGCCAUCUAAGGCUAAAUAUUGGGGAGAGACCGAUAGCGAACAAGUACAGUGAUGGAAAGAUGAAAAGAACUUUGAAAAGAGAGUUAAACAGUACGUGAAAUUGCCAAAAGGGAAGGGUAGGAGGUCAGAGAUGCGUCGCAGGAUUCAGCCUUGCUUUUGCUUGGUGUUUUUCCUGCGUUGCAGGCCAACGUCGGUUUUGGGCACUGGAGAAGGGUAGGAGGAACGUGGCACCUCUCGGGGUGUGUUAUAGCCUCCUACUGGAUACAGCGACCGAGACCGAGGAACGCAGCGUACUCGUAAGAGCGGGCCUUUUGGCACCUUUACGCUUAGGGCGUUGGCAUAAUGGCCCUCUACCACCCGUCUUG